CACUGCUGACAAUGCUUCGACUUAAAAUAUUAAUAGCGAAGGUAGAUUGUGACGUACAGUAAGCGUAAGGUCUGCCAAUAUAGCUGUUAACAUUUACCUUAAUAUAAAGAUAGAUUUAAAGAUGCAAGUUGAAUUAAAAAAAUGGAGCUAUAUCUCCACAUUCCCAUUCGUCAUGGUAUGGCUUUCAGUUAAGCAUGGGUACUUUACUGUAGUUUUACAUGCAAUGAAUUAGGCAUGUACCAAUUUCAAGAGAAUAUUUCUAUGUGUAGAUUGAAUGUUUCCCUAUCAGUCUUCUCAUCAUAUCUGCAAUGUUUACAUGAAUUAAACAUGGUGAAAUUGACAUUUGUUGAGGGCGCAGUGGCUAUAAGAACGUUUCCCAAAGAAUAAAUGUUACAUACAAUGCAUACAGUUUAGUUUUAACCUGAAUUCUACAUGUAAAUGACUUGCCAAAGAAACCAAAUUUGGGAUGUGAGGCUGUGUAAAUGGGUAUCAGCAUUUU